AGAGCCUUUCACCUGCAGUGAAUGAAGCCCUACCAAGACACAGACCACCAUCACCUGAGGAAGCAGUAUCACCAGGAGUCAGUGUAAAGAGACCUUCUUCCAAAGGUAAAGUCACCAAAAAAAGAACUCCCUGGGAGCAGACAGAGGUGCGGGCAGUCGAGAAGCACAUGAAACAAUUCAUUACUUCUUGUAUUGUGCCAGGAAAGAGGGACUGCGAGAAAUGCCUAAGAGCAGAACCAGAAGCUCUGAAAUACAGGGACUGGCAGAACAUAAAAUUGUACAUUCACAACCGCAUUACUGCCUACAAAAAGAAAGUGCAGAGAACAUAGUAUGGAGAUGCUGUACAUGUUGUGUUUAUUACUGCCAACUGAGUGUUAAAGAUACAGUGUUUGAAUCAGUUACAGUGUUGUUAUACAGUUAGUGUUAGUUGUGUCGGCCUUUUGGGAGUGGGGAGGGGCUAUUUAUCAAAGUAGAUUAUUUUGGUGUGAGUUGUCUAGUCAUGUUACUCAAAAUAAUCCACAGACCUUGUUAUGAGCAGUGCGUGGUUGCAAAGUUAAACCUAAAUCGGUCCCCCCAAAAACCAGGACAAAACUGAUUUUUUUCAAAUUAGUUUUUUAGAGCACAAUUUAGUGCCAUUGUAUUAGAGAGAAGGCAGAAAUCUCUACGGCCAGUAUCUCCAAAACUAAAUAACUCACACCAAAACUAUUUAGAUGGAUAAAUUGAUUUGAUUUUAAUUUUCAGGUGAACUGUCCCUUUAAAGCCUGAUGAUGGUCUGUAACAACAACAUGCUUAUGUUUGAGGGAAACGACCUGUAGUAACCCCUUGGGUCGCGUAUGUUAGAGACAGUAAAUCAGCUGUUUGUUUAUCCUGGAAGGAAAUCCUCAGUUUGCCUUUUGUUGACUCUGACACAGUCUCAUGUCUGAUGACCGUCUGCUGCUCUCAGUCUAUCAGCUGCUGCUUCCUGUUGGGUCAAAAGGUCGCAGCGCUGCAGGGAGGGGCACAGAUUAAUUACUUUGUUCAUUAAAAAGUUUAAUGUGAAAUGUAAA